AAACCAACAGGGAUUGCCUUAGUAACGGCGAGUGAAGCGGCAACAGCUCAAAUUUGAAAUCUGGCCCUCGGGUCCGAAUUGUAAUUUGUAGAGGAUGAUUUUGGUGCGGUAUCUUCCGAGUUCCUUGGAACAGGACGCCUUAGAGGGUGAGAGCCCCGUACGGUUGAAUGCCUAGCCUCUGUAAAUCUCCUUCGACGAGUCGAGUAGUUUGGGAAUGCUGCUCUAAAUGGGAGGUAAAUUUCUUCUAAAGCUAAAUAUUGGCCAGAGACCGAUAGCGCACAAGUAGAGUGAUCGAAAGAUGAAAAGCACUUUGAAAAGAGGGUUAAAUAGCACGUGAAAUUGUUGAAAGGGAAGGAUUUGUGACCAGACUUUUUCUGGGCGGAUCAUCCGGGGUUCUCUCCGGUGCACUUUGCCCAGUAAAGGCCAGCAUCGAUUUUCGGCGGCGGAUAAAAGCAGUGGGAAUGUGGCUCCCUACGGGGAGUGUUAUAGCCCAUUGUAUAAUACGCUGCUGGGGAUCGAGGUACGCGCUUCUGCAAGGAUGCUGGCGUAAUGGUUAUCAAUCAC
rnacentral:rRNA from 5 species